rnacentral:rRNA from 1 species
UGAGGAAUAUUGGUCAAUGGGCGAGAGCCUGAACCAGCCAAAUCGCGUGCAGGACGACUGCCCUAUGGGUUGUAAACUGCUUUUAUACAGGAAUAAAGUGUGGUACGUGUACCAUUUUGUAUGUACUGUAAGAAUAAGGAUCGGCUAACUCCGUGCCAGCAGCCGCGGUAAUACGGAGGAUUCGAGCGUUAUCCGGAUUUAUUGGGUUUAAAGGGUGCGUAGGCGGACUGAUAAGUUAGUGGUGAAAGUUUGCAGCUUAACUGUAAAAUUGCCGUUAAAACUGAUAGUCUUGAGUGUAAUAGAGGUAGGCGGAAUGUGUUGUGUAGCGGUGAAAUGCUUAGAUAUGACACAGAACACCGAUUGCGAAGGCAGCUUACUAUAAUACAACUGACGCUGAGGCACGAAAGCGUGGGGAUCAAACAGGAUUA